CGAGUAGGUAACCUGCCUAUCAGAGCGGGAUAACUAUUGGAAACGAUAGCUAAUACCGCAUAACAGUAUGUAACCACAUAUCAGAUGCUUGAAAGAUGCAACUGCAUCGCUCGUAGAUGGACCUGCGUUGUAUUAGCUAGUAGGUAGGGUAAUGGCCUACCUAGGCGACGAUACAUAGCCGACCUGAGAGGGUGAUCGGCCACACUGGGACUGAGACACGGCCCAGACUCCUACGGGAGGCAGCAGUAGGGAAUCUUCGGCAAUGGGGGGAACCCUGACCGAGCAACGCCGCGUGAGUGAAGAAGGUCUUCGGAUCGUAAAGCUCUGUUGUUAAGGAAGAACGAGUGUGAGAAUGGAAAGUUCAUACUGUGACGUACUAACCAGAA
rnacentral:rRNA from 1 species